CUAGUAAUCGCGAAUCAGAAUGUCGCGGUGAAUACGUUCCCGGGCCUUGUACACACCGCCCGUCACACCAUGAGAGCCGAUAACACCCGAAGCCUGUGAGCUAACCGUAAGGGGCAGCAGUCGAAGGUGGGGUUGGUGAUUGGGGUGAAGUCGUAACAAGGUAGC
rnacentral:rRNA from 1 species